ACACCGGGUAAACAUUCUUCCGGCGUAGUCAUUUUUGUAUUGCCGUCAAUGCAAAAAUGGAUCGUUUCUUCGCCACUUCCCUGGUGGGUUUUCCGAAAUUGCGAUUCGAAGAUGUGCAGAAGAUUGUGGAGACACACUCAGCAACACCACAGCCCAGGCUGACAAAGGGGUACAUGUUUUUUGUGGAGGAGUUUGUACACAAUUAUCAAGAUCACCCUGGAGGCUGUUGGACAACUGGGUCUCUCAGAGCUGUAGCUUUGCUGCGGGCAAAGGCUUCUGUAGCCAUAUAACCGCUCUGCUGUUCCAGACAGCGCAUUAUGUGCAGCUAGGCCUUGAUGUGGUUCCACCUUCCCUGGCCUGUACCAGUCAACCACAGAUGUGGCAUCGACCUCGAACCCACGUGUGCUGUUGUGUCCUCUGUUCAAAUCAUACACUUCAGUAUUUGUCUAGAGUAUAUGAGCAUUUCCUGUAUUGUUGUUCGCCUCAGGGAAUCCAUCCAGAGGCUGUGAGUGACCUGGUGGUGAAGAAACCCAAGUCGGUGGGGAAGACUGGAGUCAAGUCCACACUACAGAGCGUAUGCUGGUAAGACAUUUGUUUUGCAAUUUGCACUCUGUUAAACUUGCUCAUUAUGAAAAGAUGCAUAUUAGAAUACAUCUGUUAUCACUACAAUAUUAAAAAAAAGUCACAUUUUUAUUUGACGUUUUGCCCUUUGAUGUCCCACAUCCUAGAGGGAAUAUCCAGCUUGGAGUUGGUACCAUCUCAGCUGUGCUGACCUGGAAGAUGUCAGCAGCAAUGACGUGUUCUUUAAGGCCAGUUGCUACUCUACAACAGUAGAUGAAAAACUCAUCAAUGGCUGGAAUCUUCCUUGAAGGGCUUGGUGUUGGAAUCGCCUCUUGUCCAAUCCUCUGUGCUUUGCUCCAAUAAAGAAUAUAUUGUGUUGAGGGGCAAAACAGACUCCCAAAACACUUGAAACACUUCUUGAGAUGGAAACCGAGUAUAAUAUGUCAUGGUCUGAUCAGACACACAACAUCUGUUGAGGACAGUUUGUGGCCCCAUGGACAUUUCUUGCAGCCUUGCCUCCAGCUCAGCAAUAUACUCCAGGGCAUCAUCCAGUGCACCUACAAAAAAAGAAGACAAAUCAGUCUUCAUUACCAUUCAUUCGUAUUCACCCUUUCUUUUUAUUGUAUUGUUAUUCUGUAUACUUAAGUUUAUAUUUAUUAUUAUUAAAUUUAUUUGUACUGUUUUCUGUUUUUCUUUUUUAUGUAUUAACUAUAGGUUGAGUGUUGUACAUAGAGUAAAAACCAAAGUCAAAUUCCUCGUUUGUUCGCAAACCUGGCCAAUAAAGCUGAAUCUGAAUUAAUAUGUAA